ACACACAUUACAAAAAGGAGUAGA
rnacentral:piRNA from 1 species